AUGAAAGGUGCUACAGAGGACACUGUACGGGUCAUGUUUUACCAUGGUAACCAGGAGUCUGAUGUUGGAGGAGAGCAGUGGAUCGAGGAGCAGUGCCCACAGCUGUGCUGUGGAGAAGACGUGGAAGACAGAGCUGAGAAGUGCAGUGGAUGCACAGAGGUGGUGCAGCCGUGGUGCCCAGCACGCCGCCCAGCCUGGAUUCGGCCGAUGGUGCAUCAGUCCAUACAAAUCCAUCCAGGUGAUGUGCGGAUGACUUUGGCAACAUUUUGGUGGAACUCCAGGCAUGUUUGA
rnacentral:lncRNA from 1 species